rnacentral:lncRNA from 1 species
CACCUGACCUCUUCAGUUCAUCAGUGGGGUUCACCAGCAUCACCCCCAUUUUUCAUGGGGAGAAACUCAGAAGUGGAGAGAACGUCUGAGGCUACAUAGCCAGUACAAAAUCGCUUCUUGACCUGCACAACUUUCUGAUUUGAUGAGUUCAACAGAAACCAACUCAAGGGAGAAGAAUAAAGACAUUGUUGAACUUAGACUUUGACAAGAUAAGAAUAACAAUCUUGGAAUAUGCUGAAGAUGGCAGACUACAAAGUAGAAGGAGACAAAGUUUGUGAAAGACCAGGUGGAGGAAAGUCAUCCACUAAUCAGGAGCCCUUUUAUGGAAUCUACGUAAACAAGAAAUAAACAAAGGUUUAGUCCAUUAUACCUUUCAAGUCAACAGCAAAGCAGACAGCCUACUCUAAUUAAUAUAGCUGUGGUCUUCCUAGAAUUUUUUUGAUCUGUCAACAAGUUCAUGCUCUCCAAUGUCCCAGCAAAAUUCCUGGCACACAGAUGUAUUUUAAAUGUUUGAUAAAUGAAUCGGUGAGUACAUGAAUCAAAUUAUGAGUAGAUGGAUAGAUAGAUGAAUGAAUUAAUAAAUGAAUGAAUGAAUGAAUACAUAAAUAAGCUACCUGUAACUGCUAAUUUCAGUAGUUAUAAUAUGAUUUUAAAAUCUUGGCAAUGGGCAAUUAGAAAAUGUUCAAACUGCACAUAGGGUUUGGGGCAGGAAGGAGCACACAGUAGUGGGAACCCAGAAGGAGAAAACAAUCAGCUAGAUAGGCAGUAUCUCAAGAUCUUCUGGAGGGCACUAGUCUUUAACCUGGGCUUCGGAGGAGAAUCUCAUUUUCUAGGAAAGAGAUCACUGAUAGUAAAACAUAGGGUAAAACAGGCUGCCAAGUCACGGGGCUGAGACAUAGAAAAUAAAGCAGAUAUUUAGUCAUAAAAAUUGGGCAAAAACUAGGACUUAGGAAGAAGGCAAACCGGAAAUAAAUUCAGGAUCAGACAGGCAGCAAAACUGGACUGAUACUUACCCUGUGAUUAUGGACUUGUGUUCUUCAAGUCCCUUUGCCCAAGGGGCAAGAUUAGUUUUAAACAUUUGGCUGUGGCUUGGUCUGCACUGGGAGUCAUGUGACCCUACCUGCAGGGAAAGGUUAAAACCAUUGUUUGACAUAGGACUGAAGAAAUUUAUAUAUAUAAUUUGAGGCAAAUAAACCUGUCCUCAGUACAUGUUUACAACCAUCUUGCAAGAAUUUUCCUAAGUAGGUCAUGAUAAUUGUGGAAGACCAUGAAUCAAGAAAAAUUACCCUUAAUAAGACAAUAUUGCAUCUUUGCUGAGUCACUACUCAUCUUCUGUGAUUUUGUUUCAUUUACAAAAGAAACUGAUACUUAAGGUGAUCAUUUAUUUAUUUAUUUAUUUAUUUAUUUAUUUAUUUAUUUUUUGUAGCCCAGAGGUCCUUUAUUUUUUUUUUUUAACACCUAUUAUGCCAUGAAUUCAUAGGGAAUAGGUUCCAGCAGCUCAGGCUCCUUCCCAUUGGUUCUCACAAAGUGUGCUUCUCUGGGUGGAGUAGGCUGGCGCUUUAGUUGAACCCAGGUACCUUUCUCUUUGGCUUCUUUCUUUUUCUGAUCAUUUUCCUUCACACGUUUCAGGAAGCUAUCUCGGCUCUUAGAGUGCUUAAUGUGCUCAAUACGCACAUUAAUUCUCUUGGCAAGAAUCUUGCCCUUAACUUGUUUGUUUACAACAAUGCCAACAGCAUGCUGGGUAACAUUGUAGACUCUUCCAGUUUUGCCAUGGUAACACUUGUGGGGCAUUCCUUUUUGAACAGUACCCAUUCCCUUGAUGUCUACAAUAUCACCUUUCUUAUAGAUUCGCAUAUAUGUGGCCAAAGGAACAACUCCAUGUUUUCUAAAAGGCCUAGAGAACAUAUAUCGGGUGCCUCUCCUCUUUCCCUUUGUGUUCGUCAUUUUGGCGAAUUACUGGAAGAUGGCGGUUCCGGCC